rnacentral:rRNA from 1 species
ACGCUCGACACCUACGGGAGGCGGCAGUGGGGAAUAUUGCACAAUGGGGGAAACCCUGAUGCAGCGACGCCGCGUGAGCGAAGAAGUAUCUCGGUAUGUAAAGCUCUAUCAGCAGGGAAGAAAAUGACGGUACCUGACUAAGAAGCCCCGGCUAACUACGUGCCAGCAGCAGCGGUAAUCUGAGCGGGCUGGCAAGGC